GGGGGGGGGGGGGGGGGGGGGGGGCAGAUGGAGGGCGAGGGGGGGGGCGGUGGGGGUGUGGGGGGGGGGAGUGGCGAACGGGUGGGUAGAACGUGAGUCGCCUGCGCUUGACUUUGGGAUAACGUCAGGGAACUGGGGGUAAUACCGGAGAGGAGCUCCUGGUUCAUUGUGGGGGUUGGCAAGGUUCGGCGGUUGGUGAUGGACUCGCGGCUUAUCCGCUUGUUGGUUGGGGAGUGGCUUACCAAGGCUUUGACGGGUAGCCGGCCUGAGAGGGUGACCGGCACCAUUGGGACUGAGAUACGGCACAGACUCCUACGGGAGGCAGCAGUGGGGAAUAUUGCACAAUGGGCGGAAGCCUGAUGCAGCAACGCCGCGUGCGGGAUGACGGCCUUCGGGUUGUAAACCGCUUUCGCCUGUGACGAAGCGUGAGUGACGGUAAUGGGUAAAGAAGCACCGGCUAACUACGUG
rnacentral:rRNA from 1 species